UUAGAUUUCUGCCUGGCACGGAGAAGUCCACUAGGUGAAAUAUCUCUUUUUCCAUACAAAGGGAAGCUUCUUCAGUUAGAUCUCUGCAUGUCGGGCUGCUGCUAAAGGCACAGGUGCAGGGCCCGGGACAAAAGGUGGCAACCUGGCCUUUUCCUGCCCCUACAGGCAGAACCAAGCGAGCCACCACAUUGCGUAGGACGGCAGGAAAAGCUGGAGGCUGUCCGGAAGGAUGCAGGACUAUCCGGUUCUUCCCCCGCGGGCCGUGGGGGGUGGCCCUCAACGACGCUCCCAGGCUGCACGGAAUGGCUGCGCAAAUGACGUGUCUUGUGUGUGCGCGCGCACGCGCGCCUGUGUGUAGGGAAGGGGGAACCGAACGGGAUUCCCCCAGGACUGGACGAAAGGGGAGGCGAGGUCGCUUGGAGCUUAAAACGGAGCCCCCUGCUGGCCAAGGGAGGGGAGGCAGCGACCUUGGACGGGAGGGGGUUAAAUUGCCAUUCAGCGCCGACUUACUUGAUUGAACUACUGAGUGAUGCAUUUUUUUUUGCCAAGAAGGUCUCCUUGCCUGAGCCAACAGGAGGAGCGAGGGCACUUGAGGGCUCGCCUCCUGAAGGUGGUGGGGACUGUAUUCCGUACUGUACAUGAAUGUCCUCCAAACAUAGGAUUGCGCCCUCCUUGCCAGCUAAAAGGGAAGGCCUGCUUCAUGCCUUGCCUCUGGGAAGUGUUCGUUCUUUUGAGGGGAAGGAAAUCAGAAGGGGUUUGCCAUCGGGGUGCCUGAACGCCUGGUCUAUUGGCGUUUUCACCGACAUGGUUCCUGUGGAGAGAUUGUAGGCCUUGAAUCUGGCAUCUUGCAAGCUGGAACUGUAGAUGAGUCAGAGAUGUGGAUCUCUCCAGCUGUGAGAGAGCAGGACGGAGGGGAAACUGAGGGGGUGACUCACUUGUAGCUCAUGCAGAAAGCCCAAUAAGGCAGCCUUCGCCAACCUGGUGCCCUCCAGCUGCUUUGGACAACAACCAUAUUGGGGGGCAAAGGGUUGAAGCUCCCCCUCCCCAAUGCCAUGGCCGCAAUUUGGUUUGCCUUCCUGCCAGGCCCAGUAUUUCAUUUUUAACAACCCAGCCAUGCAAGAACGAAAGAAGCUGCAGAACACGUCACAUUGAGUUUGACUCUGAGGGUCUGGAAGAUGUAGGACUUGAACCCAGGUCUCUGAGAUGCAAAGGAGGAGGGUGGGGUGUCCCUGUACAUUUAAAAGGAGUCUCAGCAGCUGGAGAAUCCCCUCCUGCCUGCCAAUCUCCACCUACUGACAUUCCCUCUUCCACAGAAGUCUCUUGGGUGACGUGAUCUGAAUUCAUGCAAAUAUUAGGAUAUUGAUGGCGCUGAUUCCCCUCCCCUCCCCUUGGUGAGUGAGUGAUGUAGUAGAGCAGUCGGGAGAGGGGUGUGGGGAGGCGCACAUCGAAGGGAGGUGCGUUGGGUGUAUCUCAUUUGCAUUUACCGAAAUUGGCAAGGUGAGACCUCUUUCCUCUGCAACAAGCCCAAAGGAAACCGGGCAACAAGGGAGCGGGGGCAGUUCCUGCAAUUGUCCUCCCCCUUCCCCCCGCUACCUGAACCUAAAGGCAGUUUUCCCAGAAGUCAGACAUUUGGAAAGUCCCAUUCCACAAUUUCGAAGCCCCUGCCAGGAAACUGCAUGGAAAGAGCCUCACUUUAAAUAAGAACAAGUAAAUAAAAACAAAGAAGGCCACAGUCUGAGUUAGAAACUAGCAUGGGAGUUGCCAACUGAUGAGCAAAAGCAGGUGUUGGCUUCUCCUCUGCCUUUAACAACCGCUUGACAUCAGAAAGUGGGUGAAGCUUUUCAUGGCAAGGAAGAUCAGCAUGGUCAAUUUCUACCUCUGAAAAGAAGCUCCUGGUAAGGCCACCUGUAGUCCUAAGGUUGCCACUUUUACUUAUCUUUUAACUGGCCCUUCACAACAGCUUGGCCUGAAGAAAAGAGGCUUCCCCCCCCCUUUAUCCUCGUGUGUCACAUGCUAAAGUUCUGUAUGCCAGACUGCUGCCCAAGGCACAGGAGCAAGGACUAGGAAAAUAAAGGUGGCAAUCUUAUCUAUCUAGCUAGAGCUUGGAUUAGAAAUAGCUAUGGUGACACCUAGUGGCUAAUUUGAGUCAUGACUGUGGAUUCCUGCAGGAUGAUUUCCUUUUCCAGGCAUCUGGAUAUGCUGCUACUGUGCUGUGCCGGAUAUUAUUGGUAAGAAGUACAGCUG